UCUGGUGAAAGCUGAAAGUUGGUGUUUUCUCAAAAUGCUGCAAUAACUACUGUAAGAAUGUGUUGGUUAUGACUGCUGGACAGUUGUGUUCUAUUUAAAAUGAGAUUAGAGUUUAACUGUAGACUUUGAAGUUUUGUCAGUCAACCUUUUUCAUGAUAAAGGUGGACUGACAAUUUUGCUUGUUAUAUUGGCUCCACCUGAAUUGUUUCUCUCUGUUACAUUCACCAUUUGUUACUUUAAGGUUCACUUAUUUCACUAACAGGACUACACUGGAAAGUAUGACAAAUUACACACAAAAAAAUCUUUACUGAUAAAUUUUAAGUAUUUACAUUUACAUCUGAAUAUCUGACUGUUAUUUUUGAUGCUGGUGCAGUUCUGAGAACAGGAGUAUAAGUUUUCAUUACUAGUGAGAUUGAAUGGAGUCAGAGGGAAACAAAGUUAUUCAGUUACAUCAUAUGGGGUAUACACAAAGAGUGUAGUGUCUUUGUAAUAUAUCAAGUUAAAUAGCUAUUACAGCUUGGGUGAUAUAAUUUUCAUGAUAUUAGCUCUUAUUCUUGUUAAUUUUUUGCUUUUGAAGAGAAAUUGAAAUCAACUAUAAUUAUAAUCAGUAUUGGUGGUCAUAGCUUUAUGAAAACCGGACAAAAAAAUGUGCAUCUCUGUCACAAAAUGGUCACAUUUACCUGCAAAUAAUGCUAUAAUUGUUGGGAAGCUGGAGUUUUGGUUUCUGUGGGGCUGCUUUUCUUGUCUCUAGUUAUCCACUAGAUGGAGCCAGGAAGCUGUGUUGUCCAGAGGGCGGUCUCAGGUGUUCAGCCAUCACACCUGCAGCCUAUCUGUCAUCAGCCAGUGUUUAAGAGAAGCCUGUCACCAGUCCUUCGAUGCCUGAGUGUUGCCGUUCAUGGUUCUCAGCGGCUGUUACCUUUGUGCCUUAUGAGUUUUACCGUUUCACCUCCAAGAUUCUUCAUAAAGAAACCCCUGGUUCAUAAAUCCCUACGACUGGUUCUUCUGGCUGAUCAAGUCUGUGCUACAACCUGUCCGCCCUCCAAUGAAGUGCAACUAACAAACCCUCAUCGCCGCCCAUUCUCUCUGGAUCUCCUGGCUUCAGUUCCAACCCCACCUGGACCCGGCACUCACCCUAGAAACCAAGUUCCAGCACCAGCAGAAUACCUCCCCCUGGUGGAUCAGUUCCAUUUCACUAAAUCCAGAUCUCCAGCUGUCCCAUACCCCGGGCAAAGAAGAUACAUUCAAACUCUUUUUACAAUAAACUUUAUUUAACUGACA